rnacentral:rRNA from 1 species
GGCGUCAAGGACGAACGCUGGCGGACGUGCUUAACACAUGCAAGUCGAGCGGAGAAUAUAGCAAUAUAUUCGUUAGCGGCGGACGGGUGAGUAACGCGUGGGUAACCUGCCGUUUUACAGGGGGAUAACACUGGGAAACUAGUGCUAAUACCGCAUAAAAUAGUGAAGUGGCAUCACUUUACUAUCAAAGGAGCAAUCCGGUAAAAGAUGGACCCGCGUCCAAUUAGCUAGUUGGCGGGAUAACAGCCCACCAAGGCGACGAUUGGUAGCCGGAUUGAGAGAUUGAUCGGCCACAUUGGAACUGAGAUACGGUCCAAACUCCUACGGGAGGCAGGCAGUGGGGAAUAUUGGGCAAUGGAGGAAAAACCUCUUACCCAGCAAUGCCGCGUGAGUGAAGAAGGUCUUCGGAUUGUAAAGCUCUUUGAUUGGGGACGAAUAAAUGACGGUACCCAAGGAACAAGCCCCGGCUAACUAUGUGCCAGCCGCCGC